rnacentral:lncRNA from 1 species
GAGUGGACGUGACCUUCACUUAAUUGAGGAUAGAGGAAAAACAUGGAAUGAGUAGGCAUUGGAGAAUAGAAAAGGUUAUACCCCUACAGGUCUCUACGGCCACAGUAGCAAAUCUUGCUCCAUUACCUAUUUGUAGGGUCAUCUCUCCUAGCCUCAACCUUCUACAUUUCCUUAAGAUUUUACAUUGAAGUGCACAAAUAUGCACU